UGGGGAAUAUUGGACAAUGGGCGAAAGCCUGAUCCAGCCAUGCCGCGUGUGUGAAGAAGGUCUUCGGAUUGUAAAGCACUUUAAGUUGGGAGGAAGGGCAGUAAGCGAAUACCUUGCUGUUUUGACGUUACCGACAGAAUAAGCACCGGCUAACUCUGUGCCAGCAGCCGCGGUAAUACAGAGGGUGCAAGCGUUAAUCGGAAUUACUGGGCGUAAAGCGCGCGUAGGUGGUUCGUUAAGUUGAAUGUGAAAGCCCCGGGCUCAACCUGGGAACUGCAUCCAAAACUGGCGAGCUAGAGUAGGGCAGAGGGUGGUGGAAUUUCCUGUGUAGCGGUGAAAUGCGUAGAUGUAGGAAGGAACACCAGUGGCGAAGGCGACCACCUGGGCUCAUACUGACACUGAGGUGCGAAAGCGUGGGGAGCAAACAGG
rnacentral:rRNA from 1 species